UCAUUUAAAAAGAUGAGGAAAAAUACACACACACAUACAGAUACCAGAUGAAACUGAAUGCUUCCUUCUGCUGGAGACAUGCUGUAGGAUCUUCUCUCUGAAGGCUAGGGGCUGGACCUGCACUCGGAUGGCAAUUCAGGUCCAGUUCCUGAGAUCUUGAACUCCAAAUGAUUUGGGGAAAUGGAUGGGGAGAGAGUUGCUAGCACCGAUGCUGAGGCUGUGAGAGCCAUUUCUGAGUGGAGGGUCUCAAGUCAGGAGGAGUCCCGCCCACCUCCUGGUUCAGCACGCCAUGGUGAGCAUCAUGUCUUCAUCUCUGAAAAGGUGUGGCAGAAGCUAACACCCGGCAGCCUAAUUCCUGGAGGGGUUGUUAGACCCAUUUUAUAAAAGGGGGGAUUAAGACUGAGCGGGUCUUCAAGUCCCUGAGGUGGACUUCCCUGCCCCACGUAAGUGACUGGGCCACUCCCUGGCCUGGGUGUACACUUUUAUUACACUGGAAAUUUCAGCCCACAUGUAGCAAGGAGUACAGUUAAAAUCACGAGAAAAGACUAAUUCUCAGAAAAAACGUCUCAUGGAAAAAAAGCUCUGAGUGGCUUGGUAUAUGUGUAUGUGUGUGCAGAUAUGUGUGUGUAUGACCAUUUUGGUGUUUUUGAGCAUCUUUUUGUGAGAUUUAAAAAUGCUGGGAGUGAAAAAUGAUCAUUUCAAACCAGACUGGGCCAGGUAGUAUCAUCAAUCAGGAAGGAAGAUCAGAGUCCAGUGGCGUGCAUGUGCAUGUGCAUGUGCACGUGUGUGUGCGUGGAGACCAUAUGCACGAAGAAGGCACCAGUGUGUGAGCCUCUCGGGGUGAGCAGGAGGAGCAGAUGUGGGCCCAAGGAAGGGAGUAGAUUUUGAUGAAAUAUUGGCUAACGCUUGGGGCACCGAAGGAGAAGCAGCUCUGGUCAGGGAACUGUGCUACAUUAGAAUUUAUAAUAGAUUAGCUUAGCUGCCCCUUGAUCUUCAAGGGUAUUUGGGGAGCUGAGGACGAGGCGUUUCUGCCUUGAUUUUCACAGUGAGAGGAAACCUCUGGAACACUAUUCCCAGCCUUUCCUUUUGCACAGCCUAAGGCGGUGAGAGCUUGCUGUUCACACCCCCACUCGGGUCAUUUGAAGGAGGCUGACAGUGCCCAGGAAUGCUGACAUGUUUCAAAACAUCACACACAAAAGAACCUACUCAGAUUCCUGAGGGGAGUUGCUGUCGGCCCUUCCCAAGCUGGAUUCUAACAUUGGAUGUGAUUGCCAGGGCUCCCCCUCCCACAGCAGGGGCACAAAAUCCAUAUUCAUUCUGUCUGUCUGCCAGACUCUCCUCUCCCUGUCCAUCUGUCUGUCUGACUCUGCCUUGCUCUCUGAGGGUGUGUGCUCUCAUGAAAAGGAGAGCGCGCAGGGAUGUUCCAGAUGAGCUGCUGCCAGCCAUGUAGCUUUAAACUCCAAUGAGCUGAAGCGGCCGGGAAAGAAAGAGUGAGGGGUGAAGUCUGGUUUGAUGUCUUGGCACACUGGGGAGAUGAUUCAUAUAACAUGAGCCCCUCGGGGUCCGUGGUUAAAUCCCAGCCUAACAUCCCCGGCCGGACUGGAACUCUGAAGUCCAGCCAAGGAGUGUUACUGGUCCUGCCUCUGCAAACAAUUGGUGGGUCAGAGGCAAAGGGCAGGGGAGGGGUGAUUUUUCACUGGAAAAAUUACCUGCUGGGAAGGAAGGAAUCAUAUGAUGUGUGUGGUGGGGACAUCCAGCCAGGGGGGACCUGGCUCUCACAUUACAAGCUCCCUUGCAGAAGCCAGAGGGACUUUUUAUUGCCGGUGGGGCCUGAGGGCCCAGCAACAGUGGCUCUGGCCUGGUUCUGGC